rnacentral:rRNA from 1 species
UACGUAGGGUGCGAGCGUUAAUCGGAAUUACUGGGCGUAAAGCGUGCGUAGGCGGUUCGCUGUGUCCGAUGUGAAAGCCCCGGGCUUAACCUGGGAAUGGCAUUGGAAACUGGCGGGCUUGAGUGUGGCAGAGGGGGGUGGAAUUCCGCGUGUAGCAGUGAAAUGCGUAGAGAUGCGGAGGAACACCGAUGGCGAAGGCAGCCCCCUGGGCCGACACUGACGCUCAGGCACGAAAGCGUGGGGAGCAAACAGG